rfam:Pteropus alecto contig167686, whole genome shotgun sequence.
GUCUACAGCCAUGCCACCCUGAACAAGCCCGAUCCCGUCUGAUCUUGGAAGCUAAGCAGGAAGCUAAGCAGGGUUGAGCCUGGUUAGUACUUGGAUGGGAGACCACAUAGGAAGACCAGAUGCUGUAGACA